rnacentral:rRNA from 2 species
AAAUUGAAGAGUUUGAUCAUGGCUCAGAUUGAACGCUGGCGGCAGGCCUAACACAUGCAAGUCGAACGGUAACAGGAAGCAGCUUGCUGCUUCGCUGACGAGUGGCGGACGGGUGAGUAAUGUCUGGGAAACUGCCUGAUGGAGGGGGAUAACUACUGGAAACGGUGGCUAAUACCGCAUAACGUCGCAAGACCAAAGAGGGGGACCUUCGGGCCUCUUGCCAUCAGAUGUGCCCAGAUGGGAUUAGCUUGUUGGUGAGGUAACGGCUCACCAAGGCGACGAUCCCUAGCUGGUCUGAGAGGAUGACCAGCCACACUGGAACUGAGACACGGUCCAGACUCCUACGGGAGGCAGCAGUGGGGAAUAUUGCACAAUGGGCGCAAGCCUGAUGCAGCCAUGCCGCGUGUAUGAAGAAGGCCUUCGGGUUGUAAAGUACUUUCAGCGGGGAGGAAGGUGUUGCGGUUAAUAACCGCAGCAAUUGACGUUACCCGCAGAAGAAGCACCGGCUAACUCCGUGCCAGCAGCCGCGGUAAUACGGAGGGUGC